CACAAUGUUUCCAAGGGCGUUGGCUCUCCAUUAUGGCCAUGGGAUCUCAAACUAUAUCACAGAGUAACAUGGAGACACCCCAACAGCUCAGGUCAGCACAGUGCCUGCUGCUGCUACUCAUCUUAGAGAG
ensembl:snoRNA Gm22840 small nucleolar RNA SNORA44